AUACGGGUCAACUUUUGUCUGACUAAAGGACACGACUCAGUGCAAUAUAUGUUUUUUAGUGGAAUAAAUUUUUUUUUUUCUGUGGCAGAGGAUGUUGUGGCUGACGGACUGAAGAGGAGGACUAAAUCAGAACUGAACCAGGACUCAAUGUCGGGACGGGCUUGUGGGUGACCGCAGGAGAAAGGACCGACGGAGAGUUCCGCACCUCAUGGAGACACGGCACGGAGGAGAUUGAUCGACAAAGGUCUACAAUCCGUUAGCCAAUCAGGAUGCAGAGGGAGGAACACAACACGUGAAACAGCGAGGCCGUGAAAGGUGAACCACGAUAUAGCGAGGGACGACUGUAAACUGAAUGAUAUUAAUGUUAACAGUUUCAAAAUGUUAUUGAUAUUAACCAUUAUAAUUUUAAUAUUAUGAAUUAGUUCCAUGUUUAACUUUUAUGGUAAUUGUAUUGUAGUACAGUUUGUCCUUGUGUACUUGUACUGAGUGAAUGUGACAACCAUGUGAAGAGAACAUUAGGCAUAACAAGCUUUUCUGGACACAAUCAUAUAUGAGCUGCAUGACGAGUGACGAGUGUGUGUGCCAGCGUAAACAGCCGUCUGGACUUUCUUCGGAGAUUAAGGCCGUUUGGAGCCAGUCAAAAUAUUAUGCUGACCUUCUGUUCACCUUAUUCCACCCCGCCCAUUUUUGUCUCUGAAUGCCCCUAAACCUCGCUUUCUUGGGAAACGGCAAUCCUAUUCAUGUCACUGGCCAAUCUGAGAAAAGUUUUCGCAGCUAAAAUAUGACAUAAAGUUGGUUUAUUUGUGUAAAAUGUUCAGUGUUGAUGUGACCA